AUAAUUAUUGCUUUUUCUGUAAUCUCUGCAUCCAAACCUUCUUUUUUUUUUGUAAUUUUCUUCAUUUGCUUUUCUUUUCACAAGGAGACUGUCAAUACCGGUCUUGCCUUUCAGAAGAUUACGUUUCCGCUUGGUUUAACACAUGAAGAUCCCCAACUUACCAUAUAUAUAUAUAUAUAUAUAUAUAUAUAUAUAGCCGAGGAAGAAGUAGAGUGAAUAGAAGGUGUUGGAACCCAUGAGAAGUGGCCAAAAAAAAGUAUGGGUCAAAACAACUGAAAGAAAAAAAUUAAAUGACUGUGAGAGAGUUAGGAGAAGAGGGAAGUAGUUUAAAGUGGAUAUUCAGAGAUUCUCCUCUUUACUGUUCGGUGUUGAUUCUCUGACUUAGUAGGGUUUAGUAAAAGCUGUCAUGUUUUACUUUCUGCUAUAUUUUUAAUUCAUGAGAUUAUCUUUCCCUUCUGUAGAAGAUGUUAAAAUCUUGUAUAGAAUAUCGACAGCCAAAAUAAUCAUAUGGUUAUGUUGUUAAACCAAUGGAUUGGAGUGAUGUUAACGCCUUCCAUAUUAAAGAUGUUCCUGAUGUGGACAAUGGAGAUCAACCUAUGAACGAGGACGCACCAGUUCCUCUCAGUGACAUUGAUGCUCAUGUGCCGCCAAUAGGAAAAGCAAGCGACCAAAAGUUGUUUCGAGGGGUCUAAUGGGAGAGUACCAGUGCGAUAAACGCUUUAUUACUCGUGCUUGGAAAGCUCAUGUAAACGCCAUUUCCCAAACAUUGAUUACGCUGCAAAAUUUGGUGUACUCUCAAAUGUUAUCGAUGUGGGUAACCUAAGUCUCGACAGCAGAGAGUUGUCUGCAAUUGUUGACAUGUCCUCCCAUUUACCUGCCAAGGUUGUAGAUGUGCUCAUUCAUCACACUCGAUCUAUGUUUCUAUCCAAUUCCGAACAGAUUCAAUCCAGGAACUCUGUUUUCCUCGACAAAAAGUUUGUUUCACUCCUUGCUAAGACAUUUACCAAGUUCUCCAAGUCAUCUAAGAAAGAGAGUUUCCGAUUCCCUCCCUCUUUGUGUGAAUAUGUAGUUGGAGAUUGCCCAAUUAUUGAAGCUAUUCGUCUCUAUUUCCCCUUUAAUUUUGUCAAAAAAGCAUUGGGUUGGGGUCUGCUUUGACUGUCGCUUUUGCAGGUUAUAGUGUUAGAUUGCAACACCUCUCUGAGGAUGGACGGAAUGAUCACCAAUGAAUUGCACCCCAUUUCUCAAAUGUUUCCUUACCUACUGAGACAAGCCGGGAAACAACUUAGUGCCAAAUAUUUGAAGACAUUAACCAUUGAGAGACCAUGUAAUGGGCACCAUAACCACAGCUAGUUUGAAUCUGGUAACACGGCUAUUCUUCUAAUUCAAGCUCCCGCUGUUGGGGGUGUUGAUGUCUGUAAUUACAUUACUCCAGAUGUGCUUGACGUUAAGGUGGAAAGAAUUGCAGUCAUGAUCUACGAAGAAA